rnacentral:rRNA from 1 species
UACGGGGGGGGCAAGCGUUGUUCGGAAUUAUUGGGCGUAAAGGGCGCGUAGGCGGCCUGCUAAGUCGAACGUGAAAUCCCCGAGCUCAACUCGGGAACUGCGUCCGAUACUGGCAGGCUUGAAUCCGGGAGAGGGAUGCGGAAUUCCAGGUGUAGCGGUGAAAUGCGUAGAUAUCUGGAGGAACACCGGUGGCGAAGGCGGCAUCCUGGACCGGCAUUGACGCUGAGGCGCGAAAGCCAGGGGAGCAAACGGG